UUGUUGCAAAGUGCGCUGCUACAUGAGAAAACCAGCUCUGAUUGUUACAAAAGGAAGUCAUCUGAUAAGCUGCAAACACGCCUGCUGCCAAAGCUCCAGCUUCAAUAAUAACUGGAUUCCAGAAGAACAACAACAGCUGUGUGUGUGUGCUGUGCAUUGAAAGGCUCUCAGGUUGGCUCCAGCACAAACACAACGUUGUUGCCCUGGUUUGCGUUCUUAGGAAGAUGAAACUUGAGUAAGAUGGACAAAAAGUGAAAGAAUACAGGCCACAGUGGAGACGAGAGCUGGACUGAAGCCUUUCUCCAGGGUGAAGUUGCCCAAUAGAAACUUGGAGCUGAA